CCCUUAGAUGUUCUGGGCCGCACGCGUGCUACACUGAGUGGAUCAGCGGGUCAGGUUGCGCGAAAGUGUUUCCUAAUCUUGAAAUCCGCUCGUGAUGGGGAUUGACGGUUGCAAUUUUCCGUCAUGAACGAGGAAUACCUUGUAAGCGCGGGUCAUCAUCCCGCGCUGAAUACGUCCCUGCCCUUUGUACACGCCGCCCGUCGCUCCUACCGAUUGAGUGGUCCGGUGAGGCUUUGGGAUCUGAGCGGAAGGAGCGUUUCGCUGUUUCUGCUCGGAAAACUCAGUCGAACCUUAUCAUUUAGAGGAAGGAGAAGUCGUAACA
rnacentral:rRNA from 1 species